GGUUGUGGCUCAGGGGUAGAGUGCUUGCCUAGCAUGCAUGAGGCACUAGGUUCGAUCCUCAGCACCA
rnacentral:tRNA from 1 species